rnacentral:rRNA from 1 species
AUUGAACGCUGGCGGCAGGCUUAACACAUGCAAGUCGAGCGGAGAUGAGGUGCUUGCACCUUAUCUUAGCGGCGGACGGGUGAGUAAUGCCUAGGAAUCUGCCUAGUAGUGGGGGACAACGUUUCGAAAGGAACGCUAAUACCGCAUACGUCCUACGGGAGAAAGUGGGGGCUCUUCGGACCUCACGCUAUUAGAUGAGCCUAGGUCGGAUUAGCUAGUUGGUAGGGUAAAGGCCUACCAAGGCGACGAUCCGUAACUGGUCUGAGAGGAUGAUCAGUCACACUGGAACUGAGACACGGUCCAGACUCCUACGGGAGGCAGCAGUGGGGAAUACUGGACAAUGGGCGCAAGCCUGAUCCAGCCAUGCCGCGUGUGUGAAGAAGGCCUUCGGGUCGUAAAGCACUUUAAGUUGGGAGGAAGGGCUUACGGUUAAUACCUGUGAGUUUUGACGUUACCAACAGAAUAAGCACCGGCUAACUUCGUGCCAGCAGCCGCCGUAA